rnacentral:lncRNA from 1 species
CAGCAUUUUUCUGUUAGAGCAAUGACAUGAGAUGAGAUCCUAGUCAUUAGGAGGAUUAUUGGUUCUUGAUUUGUUUGUGUGAUUCUUUGUUUUUCUUAUGUCAUAUUGUGUUAUUUUGAUGAGGACAUUUUACAAUAAUGUUAGGUUUCUGUUCAUCUACUACUUUUUUUUUUUGUUAGAUCAUCUACUACAUUUUUGGUUUCAUUACUUUUUUCCUUUUUGAUGGAAUAUAGUAGGUGGUGUAUGGCUGUGUUAAUAUGCUAAUAAAUAAAUAUUGGAAAAUAAAUACUUCUAUAGUUCUUU